rnacentral:rRNA from 1 species
GAUGAACGCUGGCGGCGCGCCUAACACAUGCAAGUCGAACGAUUAAAGCACCUUCGGGUGUGUAUAAAGUGGCGAACGGCUGAGUAACACGUGGGCAACCUGCCCCUUUCAUUGGGAUAGCCACGGGAAACCGUGGAUAAUACCGAAUACUUCGAGACUUCCGCAUGGAAGACUCGAGAAAGCUCCGGCGGAGAGGGAUGGGCCCGCGGCCUGUUAGCUUGUUGGUGGGGUAACGGCCUACCAAGGCAAUGAUGGGUAGCUGGGUUGAGAGACCGACCAGCCAGAUUGGGACUGAGACACGGCCCAGACUCCUACGGGAGGCAGCAGUGGGGAAUCUUGCACAAUGGGCGAAAGCCUGAUGCAGCGACGCCGCGUGCGGGAUGAAGGCCUUCGGGUUGUAAACCGCUUUCAGCAGGGACGAGGCGAAAGUGACGGUAGCUGCAGAAGAAGCCCCGGCUAACUACGUG